rnacentral:rRNA from 1 species
AUGGACGAGUUUCGUGCCAUGAUGGUCAAGCAUGCUUCAUCGACAUCUUCCUCGUCAAGAUGUCGACACUCGAGCCGACACUCAUUGAACACUCUUCCGACGCAAGUCUUCCACGACCUCGUUCUCAUCUUUGAGACGACCAUCAAGAUUAUCAAGCUACACAAAACCCAUUCAUGGCAAUGGUUUGCAAGAUCGCCUUUGGGAGCACAACGACAUCAUCACCAAGAACAAGAUGCCAUGGACCAAGAGAAAGUUCAAAAACGCCAAUGCCAAGAAGAGCAAGAUGACAAAGCCCUUUGGCAAGAACAACAACGCCAUGAGGAGCAAGCGCCUGAAGCACAACGAGACCUACAUGAAGCCACUCGUGCUAUCGAAGAGCACAAUCGACGCAUGCGUGAGGAAGAACAAGCGCUCCGGUGA